rnacentral:rRNA from 1 species
GACGAACGCUGGCGGCGUGCUUAACACAUGCAAGUCGAACGGUAAGGCCCUUCGGGGUACACGAGUGGCGAACGGGUGAGUAACACGUGGGUGAUCUGCCCUGCACUUCGGGAUAAGCCUGGGAAACUGGGUCUAAUACCGGAUAGGACCACUGCCUGCAUGGGUGGUGGUGGAAAGCUUUUGCGGUGUGGGAUGGGCCCGCGGCCUAUCAGCUUGUUGGUGGGGUGAUGGCCUACCAAGGCGACGACGGGUAGCCGGCCUGAGAGGGUGACCGGGCACACUGGGACUGAGAUACGGCCCAGACGCCUACGGGAGGCAGCAGUGAGGAAUAUUGCACAAUGGGCGCAAGCCUGAUGCAGCAACGCCGCGUGAGGGAUGACGGCCUUCGGGUUGUAAACCUCUUUUAGUAGGGAAGAAGCGAAAGUGACGGUACCUGCAGAAAAAGCACCGGCUAACUACGUGCCAGCCGCCGCAGUAA